UACGAAGGGUGCAAGCGUUAAUCGGAAUUACUGGGCGUAAAGCGUGCGUAGGCGGCCAACUAAGUCGGACGUGAAAUCCCCAGGCUCAACCUGGGAACUGCGUCCGAUACUGGAUGGCUUGAAUCCGGGAGAGGGAUGCAGAAUUCCAGGUGUAGCGGUGAAAUGCGUAGAUAUCUGGAGGAAUACCGGUGGCGAAGGCGGCAUCCUGGACCGGCAUUGACGCUGAGGAGCGAAAGCCAGGGGAGCAAACGGG
rnacentral:rRNA from 1 species